UAACUUUUGUGACCAUUUGAGAUCCUUAGACAAGAUCAAACAUUCCUCCUUCAGAUGCAUCAUGAGCCAUGCAUGCGAGAGAGGAGUACAACAUAAUAAUGUGCCCCCUUCUUCUCGUGAUGCUCAUGAAGGGAAUAAUAGAUGUCAGCUAGGAGGAAAGGUACCGGGUUACCAGAAAGGAAGAUCUCCACAACCGUCUAAUCCAUAAAAUUGUCAAUGUUAGGGAAAAG
rnacentral:lncRNA from 1 species